AAAGCGUAAUAGCUCACUGGUCGAGUCGGCCUGCGCGGAAGAUGUAACGGGGCUAAACCAUGCACCGAAGCUGCGGCAGCGACGCUGAUGCGUUGUUGGGUAGGGGAGCGUUCUGUAAGCCUGCGAAGGUGGCCUGUGAGGGUUGCUGGAGGUAUCAGAAGUGCGAAUGCUGACAUAAGUAACGAUAAAGCGGGUGAAAAGCCCGCUCGCCGGAAGACCAAGGGUUCCUGUCCAACGUUAAUCGGGGCAGGGUGAGUCGACCCCUAAGGCGAGGCCGAAAGGCGUAGUCGAUGGGAAACGGGUUAAUAUUCCCGUACUUGGUGUUACUGCGAAGGGGGGACGGAGAAGGCUAUGUUGGCCGGGCGACGGUUGUCCCGGUUUAAGCGUGUAGGUGUGUGUUCCAGGUAAAUCCGGUUCACUUUAACACUGAGGCGUGACGACGAGGCACUACGGUGCUGAAGCAACAAAUGCCCUGCUUCCAGGAAAAGCCUCUAAGCAUCAGGUAACAUCAAAUCGUACCCCAAACCGACACAGGUGGUCAGGUAGAGAAUACCAAGGCGCUUGAGAGAACUCGGGUGAAGGAACUAGGCAAAAUGGUGCCGUAACUUCGGGAGAAGGCACGCUGACACGUAGGUGAAGUGAUUUACUCAUGGAGCUGAAGUCAGUCGAAGAUACCAGCUGGCUGCAACUGUUUAUUAAAAACACAGCACUGUGCAAACACGAAAGUGGACGUAUACGGUGUGACGCCUGCCCGGUGCCGGAAGGUUAAUUGAUGGGGUCAGCGCAAGCGAAGCUCCUGAUCGAAGCCCCGGUAAACGGCGGCCGUAACUAUAACGGUCCUAAGGUAGCGAAAUUCCUUGUCGGGUAAGUUCCGACCUGCACGAAUGGCGUAAUGAUGGCCAGGCUGUCUCCACCCGAGACUCAGUGAAAUUGAACUCGCUGUGAAGAUGCAGUGUACCCGCGGCAAGACGGAAAGACCCCGUGAACCUUUACUAUAGCUUGACACUGAACAUUGAGCCUUGAUGUGUAGGAUAGGUGGGAGGCUUUGAAGUGUGGACGCCAGUCUGCAUGGAGCCGACCUUGAAAUACCACCCUUUAAUGUUUGAUGUUCUAACGUGGACCCGUGAUCCGGGUUGCGGACAGUGUCUGGUGGGUAGUUUGACUGGGGCGGUCUCCUCCUAAAGAGUAACGGAGGAGCACGAAGGUUGGCUAAUCCUGGUCGGACAUCAGGAGGUUAGUGCAAUGGCAUAAGCCAGCUUGACUGCGAGCGUGACGGCGCGAGCAGGUGCGAAAGCAGGUCAUAGUGAUCCGGUGGUUCUGAAUGGAAGGGCCAUCGCUCAACGGAUAAAAGGUACUCCGGGGAUAACAGGCUGAUACCGCCCAAGAGUUCAUAUCGACGGCGGUGUUUGGCACCUCGAUGUCGGCUCAUCACAUCCUGGGGCUGAAGUAGGUCCCAAGGGUAUGGCUGUUCGCCAUUUAAAGUGGUACGCGAGCUGGGUUUAGAACGUCGUGAGACAGUUCGGUCCCUAUCUGCCGUGGGCGCUGGAGAACUGAGGGGGGCUGCUCCUAGUACGAGAGGACCGGAGUGGACGCAUCACUGGUGUUCGGGUUGUCAUGCCAAUGGCACUGCCCGGUAGCUAAAUGCGGAAGAGAUAAGUGCUGAAAGCAUCUAAGCACGAAACUUGCCCCGAG
rnacentral:rRNA from 1 species